rnacentral:lncRNA from 1 species
GAGACUCUAAGACUUCUGAAGAGUUUCUUGCUUCUUUCCUGUGGGGCAGUGACUCCACUUCCCAGCAGUAAUGGAAUAUCCUGAAUUAGCUACAUUAAUGUUAGAACCAUUUGGACCUCACCCAGGACUUCAACUACAUUAUGCUAAAGUUACAGAACCCAAAUUUGGCAACUGUCUGCAUCUGAACAACAGAAGUUUCAACAUUCUGCCAACAGAGUAACUCCUGGACGAUUGGCACAGAAGAAGGCACAAGGCAAAUACCCAUCUCUGUACACCCUGUGCUACUGUGUCAUGUGCUGCUCCAGGCAACUCCAAUGGAUUGGCCACCCUGGCCAAUGUGUUCUAGUAUGUUACGUUUAUGUUCCCCUGCUUUCUACAAUCCUGUUCAAAGAGUUGCUGACUUAACCACAGAGAGGAUUCCAGAACCUGAGACACAGAAUAAACUUGAGCAAUCAUAGUCCAUCCACUUCAUUGUCUCAUCAAAAACCAAAGGUCCAGUGAAGCUCUGGAACUCAACGCUGUAAAGGAGCGAAGGAGCUUCUAUACAGAGCCUGGAUGCCUGUCUCCUUAUCCUACUUCAGUGGACUUGACUGCAAUCCGGAUUAUGCUGUUUUCUAAGCAUUUAAAAUAAAAUAAAAAGUAUAA